rnacentral:rRNA from 1 species
GGUCAUUGGAAACUGGGGAACUUGAGUGCAGAAGAGGAGAGUGGAAUUCCACGUGUAGCGGUGAAAUGCGUAGAGAUGUGGAGGAACACCAGUGGCGAAGGCGACUCUCUGGUCUGUAACUGACGCGGAGGAGCGAAAGCGUGGGGAGCGAACAGGAUUAGAUACCCUGGUAGUCCACGCCGUAAACGAUGAGUGCUAAGUGUUAGGGGGUUUCCGCCCCUUAGUGCUGCAGCUAACGCAUUAAGCACUCCGCCUGGGGAGUACGGUCGCAAGACUGAAACUCAAAGGAAUUGACGGGGGCCCGCACAAGCGGU